GAGACCUGUGUGGGGGCGGAGCAAGAGAAGGAUGAGGAGGAUGUAACCCAGGUUAACCUUGGUAGAAGCCGUUGCUUUAUUUUUUUCCCUGCCUUGCUUCUGAGUAUUAUUUUUCUUCCUGUGUGUCCGGUUACCUCUGCUUCCCGCGUCGGUGACGUAAUUAGAUCAUGUGGCGCAAUCGGCCACUCACGGGCCUCCAUUCACGUGACAUCGCAUCACCACGUGACUUGGAGCAGCGAAUCACGUACGUUUAUAAAGGGCCGGGGAAACGGUAUUGCAGGAAGCGGUGGAGAAGCUGAUAGCGAAAUACAGGAACCUUCUAUGCGGCCAAGCAACAGAACGCGGUUGUUAAGCAUGUGAUUGUGGUGGAACUAGGCCAGACCCUGAUGGCGAGCUAGACCCCAGGAAACUGGACCAGCAGAUGCAGAAACCUCGGAGAACCACAGCCUUCCACCGGGCCGGUAGGGGGUUCCUUGUAGCCCAUUAAAAACCACCUCAGUUGCGCCCACUGAGGUGGUAACACACACAAUCUUCAACGGACUCUGUGCUCCAUUGAACUCUGGGCUGAAGUCUUUGAUUCUGAGGCUGCUGAAGUCCCCAUAAAAUGAACUUUUCUGGACUCGAACAAUUCAGCAUGAAAUGUUUUGUUGUUUUCCUUUUUGUAUAUAUGUAUAUUUAAAUGGCCAUUCACUUUAUUAUUGUCAUUCACUGUAUAUAUUUAUACAUAAAUUACGCUUCAAACAAUUUCAGUCUCCAGCUGCUCCCUCCUUGAGACGAAUUCUAGACUUCUGAAAACUAGCCUCUUAAAUCUUAACCUUAAAUCUUAAUUGUCUUAGCAACACAAUUGCUACAAGGAGCUUAAAGGAUUCAGACCGAAG